GCGGCCGCGCACUAAGUGCGGAGAGUGAAGUUGAGGAACCAGCCAGGGGUCCAGGGGAGGCCAGGGGUGAGAGGCCAGGCCCAGCCUGUCAGCUGUGUGGGGGGCCGACAGCCUGGGCAACCUGAGGCGGCAUCAGCGCACCCACACAGGGCCUCCCACUCCUCCCUGCCCAACCUGUGGCUUUCGAUGCUGUGCUCCACGACCAACCCGGCCUCCCAGUCCCACAGAGCAGGAGGGGACAAUGCCCCGACGAUCAGAAGAUGCGCUGAUCCUGCCAGACUUGAGUCUUCAUGUGCCACCAGGUGGUGCCAGUUUCCUGCCAGACUGUGGGCAGCUGCGGGGUGAAGGGGAGAGCUUGUGUGGAACUGGAUCCGAACCACUGCCAGAGCUACUGUUCCCUUGGACCUGCCGGGGCUGUG
rnacentral:lncRNA from 1 species